UACGGAGGGGGCUAGCGUUGUUCGGAAUUACUGGGCGUAAAGCGCGCGUAGGCGGAUCUGCAAGUCGGGGGGUGAAAUCCCGAGGCUCAACCUCGGAACUGCCUUCGAUACUGCGGGUCUCGAGUCCGGGAGAGGUGAGUGGAAUUCCUAGUGUAGAGGUGAAAUUCGUAGAUAUUAGGAAGAACACCAGUGGCGAAGGCGGCUCACUGGCCCGGUACUGACGCUGAGGCGCGAAAGCGUGGGGAGCAAACAGG
rnacentral:rRNA from 1 species